ensembl:lncRNA
GUUAGGCAACCAAGUUGAGAAUCUCUGGCAUCUCCAGCUGGAGCCCGGCUUACCCCUGAGGACUGUGAAAUCAACAGAAUUGAAAUAUAGUUUGCUGAUGAUAUUUUGAGAAGUUCAACAACCUGGAUGUCCUACCAAGAUCCUGUUGAUAGUUCUGUGGCUCCUGAAGCCCAGGACCCUUAAUUCAGAAACAGGGAAAACAACUGAGGCCUUCGGUGAUGGGGAGGAAGCCUCUAAUUCCCUAGUUUCACGUUUGAUGAGGUGCCUUCCCACUGAUGAGCACAGCUGGCUGCAUGAUAUUUUACAGCCAACUACAGACAUUCUUGAAGGAAAACGUGGCCUCCUGUAUGAACUCAUGCCAUUUAUUUGUGUGGUGGAAAGAUGACCCUGCAUACAAUUUAUCCAAUGGUUUGUAUUUUGAAGGAACUAAAUAAAGUGCCAAGGGAAUCAUUUUUGUUAUUCCUUCCAAGAGCACAUUCAAAGUCAAUUAAUGAAGGAAUAUCAUGAUCCUCACUUUAUACAUAUUAGAUGAGUGCCUAUUAUAUGUGCCAAAUAGUACUGGAUCUGUGGAACACACGAAAGGUUUGUAAGACUUGAUUCCUUCUCUCCUCAUUCAGAGAGUGGGGAGAGAAUGAAAUGUCCUGUGCAAGCAAGGGGGCUCCCCCUGAGAUCUGGGGUCCAGUGGAGCCACAGUUAAGGUCUUCUACUCAGGACAGAUCAUAAAAACAACAAGACUAAUAGAACAGCCAUAUUUAUUGAGCACUUAACAUAUUCUCAGCACUAAGCCAAUCAAUUCACAUGUGUUUCUCAUUUAAUAUUUAAAACCAUUCUUUCAUGAAACAUAGUCUACAUGAAGAAGCUUUACUCAGAUCAACUGUAUAUAGUGCCAAAGAUUGUAUAGUAAAUAACAUGCCUAGAAUGUAAAUUUAGAUCUGUUUGAGUUGAGCCUGGGCUUUUACCCACCCUGCUGAAUUUUCUGUGAUUGUAUCAGUGAAAUUGAUUUAACCUCAGCUGAAAUCCUGAGUGUUUGCCAAGAAUCAAAUGCUAAAAUGAAACAUAAACACCAACCUAAAGAAGCAAAGCCAAG